rfam:Ixodes scapularis strain Wikel colony gcontig_1108379726558, whole genome shotgun sequence.
ACAGUCGUGGCCGAGUGGUAAAGGCGAUGGAUUAGAAAUCCAUUGGGGAAUCCCCACACAGGUUCGAAUCCAGGCGACUGCG